CAAUAGCGUAUAUUUAAGUUGUUGCAGUUAAAAAGCUCGUAGUUGGACCUUGGGUUGGGCCGGCCGGUCCGCCUAUGGUGUGCAUCGGCCGUCUCGUCCCUUCUGCCGGAGACACGUUCCUGUCCUUUGUUGGUCGGGUCGUGCUUCCGGCGCUGUUACUUUGAAGAAAUUAGAGUGCUUAAAGCAAGCCUAUGCUCUGUAUACAUCAGCAUGGGAUAACAUCAUAGGAUUUCGGUCCUAUUGUGUUGGCCUUCGGGAUCGGAGUAAUGAUUAAGAGGGACAGUCGGGGGCAUUCGUAUUUCAUAGUCAGAGGUGAAAUUCUUGGAUUUAUGAAAGACGAACAACCGCGAAAGCAUUUGCCAAGGAUGUUUUCAUUAA
rnacentral:rRNA from 1 species